GAACCUGAGGGACCAGGCCGUGCCAUCCGAAGACAAUCCUGAGAUCUCUCUCCGGGCCCUGCCCUGCCCCUCCCUCUCUGCCCCCAGCAGGAGCCCCCUUUUCCCCUGGGGCCAAGAACCCAGGCCACACAGGGUGCAGAAGACCCGCCAGGGAGGCCACAGCAGGGGACAGAAAAGAAGGCCCGUCGCUGGCAUGAGGGGUGGCUUCCAUGUGGGGAAACUGAGUCAGUAGCAAUUCCAGAUUGGAGGUCCUAACCAGGUCAGGUAUGCGGGCACCGCACCGUCAGCCAAGACCACAGCCCCACCUCCUCAACAGCUGGGCCCACGCCAUCGGGGGGGCGUUCCAAGAGACUUAAAAAAACCAUAACCCAACCCCGAGGAGGUGCCCUCUGAGGUGGGGUGUCCCAUACUAGAGUCAGGGUGACCUGAGGACAGGCCAGGCACACAGGGCCACCCUGAGUAAAGACGGGGGACCCAGGAGGGCCUGGGACUAGCCAGGAUGGUGGCUGCUGUGUUGAGAGGGCAUCUGGGACCCCAACCCCAGCUCCCCGGGAAGGCCUGGCAAGAAAUCCCCACAACCACCUCACAUCCAUUAUCAACAAAAACAGUGACAAGUGUCGGCGAGGAUGUGGGGAAACCGGAAGCCUUGUGUAGCGCUGCUGGGUUGGAAGAUGGCGCAGCUGCAGGGAGAGCAGGAAGGCAGUUAGUUCCUCAAGUCAGAACGAGCACAUGACGCGGCAAUUCCACUUCCAGGCGUGGGCCCAGCAGAACCGAAAGUGAGUCUCAGAGAGACACCUGGCGCCCAUGUUCACGCCAGCAUUAUUCAUACCAGCUAAAACAUGGAAGCAGCCCGAGCGUCCAUCGCCAGAGGAAUGAACACACAAAAUGUGGCCCACGCACACGAUGGAAUAUUUUUCAGCCAUAAGAAGGAAACUCUGACACACGCUGCAACACAGAUGGGCCCCGAGAACAUGACGCUAAGUGAAAUUGAGAGAUUUUGUUAGUGGCUUGAAACCAUCAUUGUAUUUGCUCACAAUCCCGUGAGUCAGCCGUUUGGUUUGGGCCGGUCUCCUGGCCUGGUCUACCCAGGCUGCCCCCACCCCUGAAGCCACUUGGUGGUUAGUGCCGGCCAAUGACCCCAUGGUGCACACCUGGUCGACUUCCCAGGUUCCAGUUCCUCCCCUCUAGGACAGCCGCUGGGCCUCAGGGUCGGGGUGACUGAGGCUGACGGAGAUGGCAGUCUCUUCCACGGCUGUGCCCAGGGAGGCUGCCAGGCACCCAUCUACGCAGCAGCACAGUCUAAAGCCAGCCAGCCCCUCCCUCGGCCCCCACCCACGCCUUUCUCACCACGGCUGGAGGCCCCAGGAAAGCAACACAGACACGGGGGUAGGGAGCACUUCCAGACCCAGCAGGAGCCUGGAAGGCUUCCGCAGCCACACCUCUUCCACAGCCACACCCCUUCCCCAGCCACAUCCCAUUCCUGCAGGGAAACGCUCGCAGCAGCUGGGGUGAGUCCUGGAACUGUCUCCCCUGCUGGGUGCCUGUCCAGGCACCAAGUCCUGCUUGUGUUUUAGAGCAGGCUAAAAGCGGUAUCAUGCCCAAUCUACACCUAGGCAUUUGGUAUUGAAACUGCAGAAAGUUAAAGAAACAAUCUUGAAAGAAGCCAGCAGCGGGUGGGGAGGAACACCUAAACUACAGACAAAGAAUACAUUCAUUUCUUAUAGAAUUAGUUUUGACUUUACAGAAACUGUGCAAGUAAAAAUACAGUGGACUGAAAUAUUUAAAGUGUUGAGAAAAAAUCCACAAGCCUAGAAUUCUGUAUCCAGCGAAAUUAUCCUUCAAAAGUCAAGGAAAAAUAGACUUAGACAAAAAUUGAGAAUUUGUUACUAGUAGACCUGCUUUGCAAAAGGUGUUAAAAGUUCUUUAGAGAGGAAAAAAAAUGUACAAGUCAGAAACUUGGAUUUACAUAAAGAAAGGCACGAGU
rnacentral:lncRNA from 10 species